UACGUAGGUCCCGAGCGUUGUCCGGAUUUAUUGGGCGUAAAGCGAGCGCAGGUGGUUUAUUAAGUCUGGUGUAAAAGGCAGUGGCUCAACCAUUGUAUGCAUUGGAAACUGGUAGACUUGAGUGCAGGAGAGGAGAGUGGAAUUCCAUGUGUAGCGGUGAAAGGCGUAGAUAUAUGGAGGAACACCGGUGGCGAGAGCGGCUCUCUGGCCUGUAACUGACACUGAGGCUCGAAAGCGUGGGGAGCAAACAGG
rnacentral:rRNA from 1 species